CAUUCAGUCACUUGUUGAUAUUUUGUUAACAUUAUAAAAGCAAUAUGAGCUAGAGGACACAAUGGCCUGUGCUUAAACAUUUAUUUUAUUCCAGGUCAUCAGUUUACAUUGUGUUACUUUCAUCCCACCUGUCUCUCCUGUAGUUCUCACAAGCUAACACCCAAGACUAGCUAACAUGAUACUUGAAACCUAUGCUGUCAUUUAGUCACUAAGGGGUGGUUUCCCGGACAGAGUUUAAUUUAAGUCAGCACUAGCCUAAUUCGACUUAAAUUAAUCCAGAUUUAAAAAUGGCUUUCUGAGACGUUGCUUAGCUUCAGAUUAAUUAGUUCUAGACUAUGGAGUCCCAGACUAAUGUAAGUAAGGACUAAACAGUUAAUCUUUGUGAAGCCUAAUUAGAUUAACGAUUUGCACUUGGUGCUGACCUGAGGAUGCGUAAAAAAAACAGGGAUGGGACACUAAUACAUAAGCAUUGUGUGGAAUUGGAGCAAUUCACCUAAACCAAACAAUGGACGGAGGUAAAAGAAAACGUUCAAAGAAUUUCAGUGACUUUGAAAAAAUACUCCUGAAGCUAAUUGUGUCAAACCACCCAAUUAUGACAGCAUGAUUCAUCAACAGAAAAACAAGAAAAAGAAUGCCUGGACUACCAUUUGUAAUUAAUUCAACUCAAAUUGAAAAGUGAACAAAAGGUAAGAUACUGUAUUUAUUGUUUGCCCACUACAAAUCAGAGUCACUUUGAAAUGUUAGUUUUGUUGUGUAACACAACACAGUGGGGCCUAAAUGCAUUUUUGUGACAGAAAUGUAACACAAACAACAUUAUACAUAAUUACUAAUAUAAUUUCUAUAUUGUCAUAUAUUUCUAUGGUCCUGUGGAAAAACAUCAACUUAAAGAAGACAAAUGCUGUUGCUCGUAGGGAGCGUUUCAAGACUGGUGGUGGACCCCCAAGCUUGGAGGGGAUAAGACAGGAUGAAGGUCAGCCCACUACAUCUACAGAAGCCAGGAGGGAAGAUUGUGUCACUAACCCAGGCCGGAGGACAAAGACAAAGAGGCUGAGCAUGCAUGAGAAACUGACCAUGGAAUUUCAUGAGCACAAACUAAUGUAUUUAAAAGAAGAGCAUGAUAUGAAAAUGCAGAUCCUUCAUGUUGAGUUGACUAUGAAGGAGGAAGAGAGAAACAGGAAGCAGCAGCAGUACCAAUGUUCUUCUCAAACCAGCACCAGUUCGGGGUCCUGAUAUUUCCAUUUGUGAAUUAAAAACCUUUUUUUACCAA